AUUGAACGCUGGCGGCAGGCCUAACACAUGCAAGUCGAACGAGUGGCGGACGGGUGAGUCAUGACUGGGCCACUGCCUGAUGGAGGGGGAUAACUACUGGACACGGUAGCUAAUACCGCAUACCAUCGGAUGUGCCCAGAUGGGCUUAGCUAGUAGGUGGGGUAACGGCUCACCUAGGCGACGAUCCCUAGCUGGUCUGAGAGGAUGACCAGCCACACUGGAACUGAGACACGGUCCAGACUCCAACGGGAGGCAGCAGUGGGGAAUAUUGCACAAUGGGCGAAAGCCUGAUGCAGCCAUGCCGCGUGUAUGAAGAAGGCCUUCGGGUUGUAAAGGACUUUCAGCGGGGAGGCGUUACCCGCAGAAGAAGCCACGGCUAACUACGUGCCAGCCGCCGCGGUAAUUC
rnacentral:rRNA from 1 species